rnacentral:rRNA from 1 species
GAUCCUGGCUCAGGAUGAACGCUGGCGGCGUGCCUAACACAUGCAAGUCGAGCGAAGCGGUUUUAAGGAAGUUUUCGGAUGGAAUUAAAACUGACUGAGCGGCGGACGGGUGAGUAACGCGUGGGUAACCUGCCUCAUACAGGGGUAUAACAGUUAGAAAUGGCUGCUAAUACCGCAUAAGCACACAGCUUCGCAUGGAGCAGUGUGAAAAACUCUGGUGGUAUGAGAUGGACCCGCG